rnacentral:rRNA from 1 species
UCGGGAAUCUUGGGCAAUGGGCGAAAGCCUGACCCAGCAACGCCGCGUGAGGGAUGAAGGCCCUCGGGUCGUAAACCUCUGUCGGAAGGGAAGAACGGUAGCCGGGCAAAUAGGUCGGCAGCCUGACGGUACCUUCAAAGGAAGCACCGGCUAACUCCGUGCCAGCAGCCGCGGUAAUACGGAGGGUGCAAGCGUUGUUCGGAAUUACUGGGCGUAAAGCGCGUGUAGGCGGCUUGGCAAGUCGGCUGUGAAAUCCCGGGGCCCAACCCCGGAACUGCAGCCGAAACUGCCUCGCUAGAGUCCCGGAGAGGAAGGCAGAAUUCCCGGUGUAGGGGUGAAAUCCGUAGAUAUCGGGAGGAAUACCAGAGGCGAAGGCGGCCUUCUGGACGGGUACUGACGCUGAGACGCGAAAGCGUGGGGAGCAAACAGG